AUUGAACGCUGGCGGCAGGCCUAACACAUGCAAGUCGAGCGGAUGAAGGGAGCUUGCUCCUGGAUUCAGCGGCGGACGGGUGAGUAAUGCCUAGGAAUCUGCCUGGUAAUGGGGGAUAACGUCCGGAAACGGGCGCUAAUACCGCAUACGUCCUGAGGGAGAAAGUGGGGGAUCUUCGGACCUCACGCUAUCAGAUGAGCCUAGGUCGGAUUAGCUAGUUGGUGGGGUAAAGGCCUACCAAGGCGACGAUCCGUAACUGGUCUGAGAGGAUGAUCAGUCACACUGGAACUGAGACACGGUCCAGACUCCACGGGAGGCAGCAGUGGGGAAUAUUGGACAAUGGGCGAAAGCCUGAUCCAGCCAUGCCGCGUGUGUGAAGAAGGUCUUCGGAUUGUAAAGCACUUUAAGUUGGGAGGAAGGGCAGUAAGUUAAUACCUUGCUGUUUUGACGUUACCAACAGAAUAAGCACCGGCUAACUUCGUG
rnacentral:rRNA from 1 species